UGGACUUGGAAAACAACUUCCUGUAGAAAAUUGGGUUCUUGCACCAUCAUGGCUGAGAAAAUAUGGGGUGCCUUAACAAUCCUAGAACAUGUCUGGCAGAUAGGAAAAAUGGUUGUAUAGAUUAAAAUUAAUUCAUUAUUAGUUAUGGAUUUGUUGACUAACAGCUCCAUGAAGCAAUACUCUUAUAAUGGUCUCCUCAGACAUGGUAAAUCCCUUAUGCAAAGGGACUGGAGGAUUAAGCUAUCACAUAUCCACAAAACGGGAAUUUUAUAACUCAUUGGUUGGCUAAGUUGUCUCAGAUUUAAUGACUCUUUAGUUUAUUAAUCUUUCCCACCAUUGGAAUGUAUGCAUCUUGUAUAUAUGGCAAGAUUUUGUAGGAGUUUCAUUCCCCCAAAAAAAAAGUCAUAUAUAUAAGAAAAAAAUAACAUUUU
rnacentral:lncRNA from 1 species